rnacentral:lncRNA from 1 species
GGGCCCCCGGAGAAAGGACUCCUGCCAGCCGCCUCUUCUCCACCUGGGGUGGAGCGUCUGUGGCGUGGCCUUGGUCCGCCGAGACUGUGGACGGUCUGGCUAUGCUGUCCCCUGCUGAACCUCUUCCUGGGAGGGGCCUCAGGGGUUCUUGCUCACUCCCAGGACCUGUUCACGCGUGUCCACAAUUUGGUCCCCCUUGUGCCUGAAAACCUUCCAGGAGGACGCUCGCCUUCCACUGUCCACAGCCCCCAGAUGUAGAAACUGAAACCCAGCUUGGGGACCGCCUUCCUGAGGACACAACGCUGGGUAAGGCUGGGCUUGGCCCUGCUGGGGAAAAGGGGUCAGGGUGGGAUCUGGGGAGCAGGAAGCUGUCCACUGUAGGAAGAGGGGAGGGGAAGACCCAGAGAAAGCCCCGGCUCCUGGCCGCUCCCCAGCCCAGCCCAGCCUCAGCCCCAGGCGGGUCCAAGGUAAGUCAAGGGCUCCGAAGUAAGCUUCCAACGGGAAGGGGUGAGAGCCGAGGGCUGUCUUCACAGCUGGAGGGGUCUGAGUCCCAAGCCAGGGAAAGAACUCUGGGUCAGCUGACCCUGGUGGGUGUGGAGCAGGCCCCGGAGGACACUACCAGCAGGCCGCCGGGCAGCUGGGAGUGUUCCAGGUGGCUUCCAAGGACCCGUGACGCUCCCCACGUUCACCCACUGCCCUCCGUGUGGGAGCGCACUGGGGGUAGAAGUCCUCAGCACAAGCAGAACGGCCACUGUCCUGCAGGGAGACAUUCCCCUCUCUGUUCCAGAAGAGUGUGUGAUGUCACGCCAGCCUCAGGGGAGGGUGCCGGCAGUCUUGCCCGGGCCACCAGCAACAGUGGCUCUCGAGGAAGGACCCGGAAGUUGGCCCGCAAAGCUGGCCCCAACCCACUCUGAUCUGUGGUCCCCUCCAUGGUUGCAGGAAGAGUGGUCUCUUUUGUCUUGGCUUACGAUCGUCCAGUCGGGCUGGACGUGGUGCCACACGCCUGUAACCCCAGCUACCUGGGAGGCUGAGGAAGGAGAAUCACUUGAACCCAGGAGACGGAGGUUGCAGUGAGCCAAGAUCACGCCAUUGCACUGCAGCCUGGGUGACAGAACAAGACUACGUCUCAAAAAAAGAAAAAAGAAAGAAAAAAAAGAAAAUAGUUCUGCUGUGAAAAUGACUGUUUGCAUUACCAAGAAGAGAUUUCAAAGUUAUCUUAAAAUGUUCCUGUUCCCAAGAAGCAGUAUAUAGUAAUAAAGACAUAUAUUCACCAAGAAUAACAUGUCCAGAAAGACAAGUUCUUAAAAACAGAAUGAGUGACAGUGGGCACACCAUGAGACUUAGUCACCUCCAAGAAGGACCUGGGUAGGAAAGGAGGGGCUGGGAGGGAAACUGCACCCCUUCAUUCCCACCCCACCCCAGCAAUUCCAGGCACAAACAGUUGAGCUCUGAGACAGAUGAAAGCUUUUCAGUUCUCAGAAGUCCAAAGGGCUGACCCACUUUGCCGGUUUGCAUGGUUUGCCUGGAGUGGCAUUAAGGCCGGCUUCUUUACAGUGUGUCUGAAAUACAAU